rnacentral:rRNA from 1 species
ACGGCUCAGUAACACGUGAGUAACCUGCCCUCUUCUUCGGGAUAACGGUUGGAAACGGCUGCUAAUACCGGGUAUUCACUGGUCCUCGCAUGGGGGUUGGUGGAAAGGUUUUUUCUGGUGGGGGAUGGGCUCGCGGCUUAUCAGCUUGUUGGUGGGGUGAUGGCUUACCAAGGCUUUGACGGGUAGCCGGCCUGAGAGGGUGACCGGUCACAUUGGGACUGAGAUACGGCCCAGACUCCUACGGGAGGCAGCAGUGGGGAAUUUUGCACAAUGGGCGCAAGCCUGAUGCAGCGACGCCGCGUGAGGGAUGGAGGCCUUCGGGUUGUGAACCUCUUUCGCUCAUGGUCAAGCCGCAGUUUUGAUUGUGGUGAGGGUAGUGGGUAAAGAAGCGCCGGCUAACUACGUGCCAGCAGCCGCGGUAAUACGAU